GCCUCGUACAGACCAACAAAGUCCUCCCUUGGCUCAAGGUCAGCAUCCACAUACCGGAGGCAAAUUGAAAUCUGUUCCGUGCCAGAUAUAUCCUGUGUUCCGUCCAUUAUCAAGGAGUACUGCAGUACAGGACUUGUGUAGGCAUGGUUUCUCAGCAACCAGCUUGCCAGUUUUGGGUCACUCUCAGCCUUCUCCUCCAGAUGCUGCUUGAAGUUUCCCUCAUCAUUGUCAUGGCCUCUGAGAGCUAAUCCCUGUCUAGCAAGCAGCAAUGUGUGCCUUACUGUUGGUGUGCUUGUCGAACGCCCCCCUACCCUUCUUCCAGUUCCUGAACCCCAAGGAAAUGAAGGUUUGUUCUGUAUUUCUGGCCAUUGUUGGAAUAUUAUGUUUAAAGGCCUUUACACAGUAGAAACACAAAACUGCUUUAAUUUCAGAACUGUAAUGUAGCCAGGGGUAGUCUUUGAACCAGCUCUCCUGGAAUCGGAGAGUGCGGUUGGGCAGAGUUUGUGGCUCAAUUAGCUGUGCAUCUGGUUGGUAUGGGGAAACUAAAAUAUCCUCAGGGGUAUUGAGCUCUUCCUCUGUUUGGGAAGGGUUAUCCUGUUGUCCCUCCUGCUGAGGCACCUCCUCCUGUAAUGUAGUCAGUGACAUGGAUGAUAAUUUGGUAGUAUUUCUUUAAAUAGUUCCCUGAAAUGUUUUAUUUAUGUUUUUUGUUCAUAAUUGCACUUAAUAUUUGUUGUAGUUGUAGCCCUGCCGACUUCACUAUAAUUGUCUGUAGUGUAUGUUUUAAAUUGUGCAAUAGCAUAUAUUUUUUUUUAGAAACCUCACCUGCUGCACCUCUACAUUCUCAACCCCCUGUUCCUGAGCUUCUUUGUUUAGUUCUGUUCCACUCAGUUCCGGUUCCUUAUGAAAAUGUUAAACUUUGUUAGUAAUGUUUCAUGUUAUAGUUUCUGAAUGUUCAAGUUUUCCUUAUGUGACCCUCACCUCCACAGCUCCCGGUCCCUGCACUUCUUUGUUUUGUUCUGUUGCACUUGGUUCCUUUUCCUGAUGACAGAUGGUUCAUAAAUAAAACAAACAUUUAUUGGCACUUGUGUUUGGUUUUUAUUUAACGUUUUAGCAUAGAUUUGGGGUAAAUCGUACUUGUUUUUUGCAUAGUUUUAGGGUAUAUUCUGUUUUUUCUUAUGAAUAGUAUGGAUAAUUA